UGGUCAUUAGCUCAGUCCGGUUAGAGCACCGCCCUGAUAAGGCGGGGGUCCCUGGUUCAAAUCCAGGAUGAUCAA
rfam:Actinobacteria bacterium OV320 ctg38, whole genome shotgun sequence.